rnacentral:lncRNA from 10 species
CUGGAAUAGUAAAUAAACUCAAGGGUCAGACUUCUGCUUGGAACAUAGCAAAAGAUUUGGAGAUAAAAACCUAGGAAACAAACAAAGGGAAAUGAAAGGGAGAGAGUGUGUGGUGAGUAAAACAAACAGCUGAUAUUUAUAUGGAAGAAGUUCCAUGGGCUAAGUUCAAAGAAGAAACAGGACAUAAUUACAGAUGAGAGUUUAUUAACUUUAUUUAUUUUCUGUUUAAAUCCUGGAGCAAAAAUGAUAGGUGUGUAUGUGAGAUGGUGCAAGAGGAGGAUAUGCAAGAGAAUUAUGUGAUAAAGCUAAAACAGAAGAAAGGGAAAUUAAAUAUUUUAAAUAACUGAAACAUGUUUAGUCAGGUAUGGGGGAUUUUUUAGUUACCUAUACAGGCUCAGAACUUCCUAGGUUGCAUGUUUAUUUGAGGGGCCUUAUAGGCAUCUUGUUUCUCCUCCACCCAUCCUUUCACUAUGAGUUGAAGUUGUAGAGACUUCUAAAUAGCUUACCCCAAGGAACUAAAGUACAAAACGAUUGCUCCAAAUUAGCAGUUUCUUCAUUGAGAAAGGAAGAAGUGGAAAUAUUCUUUUUUUCCUCAAGUCUACUUUCCGUUUGAAACAUUGUAGACAUGGGCCCAUUGGGAAAUUCUGUGUUCUAGUUAACCUCUGAGUGUAAUUUUCAGUUCAGUAAACUUUGGUCUAUUUUUAAACUCUCUCCUGAAUCUCUGAGGAUGUUGUGUAGUCUGAAAGAUAGACUCUGUGGCCUCUGGGAAUGAACUGCUCAUAUUUGAAUGUCCUGUGUGCUUUUGGUAUGAUCAUUAUGCUGGACUCACAUGAGAGAUGGAAAAGUUCUAUUGAGGGGAAAAAAAGAACUCUCAGCUUUUGUUUAUCUGCAAACAUCUCCAUUUAACCUUCAGUUUUGGAAAGCGAUAUUUUGAGCAAUCUUCUUAAAGGCAAUAUUUAUGGGGAAACUGAGUGCUAGAAAUCCAAGGUUCAUAAAGUUGGAUUCCCCAAAUGAUAAACACAUAAAAGAUAAUGGCAAAUGAAAUACAAACUACUUUUAAUUACUUGCCAAACUCUUACCUCAAAUGCCAAUGAAAAUGAUUACAACAAUCUGUGGAGUGGCAGAUACUUUAACUUAAAUGCUAAAAUUUGAAAUGCACCAGACUUGAGGGACUCUCCCUUCUCUUAAGUUAAAACCCAAACAUGCACUUCUGAAAUUUCAUCAAAGACAAAAAAGUACAUCUUAUGAACUGAAUGUUUGUAUCCACCUCAAAGUUCACAUGUUGAAAGUUCUACCCCUCAAGGUGAUGGUUUUAGGAGGUACAACCUUUGAGAGGUGAUUAGGUCACUAAAGUAGAGCCUUCAGGAAUGGGAUUUGUUUUCUCAUAGAAGAGACCCUAAAAGCGUAUUGACUGUUCUACCAUGUGAGGACAUGGCAAGAAGGCACUAGAAAGUGGACCUUCACCAGACACUGAAUCUGCUGAAAACUUGAUCGUGGACUUUGCAGCCCCCGGAACUGUGGGCAAUAUAUUACCAUUGUUUAUAAGUCACCCAGUUUAUGGUAUUUUGUUACAGCAGCCUGAAUAGACUAAGACAGUGCAUGAAUGCGUACCAGCCAGCUUAAGAAAAAUAAUAUAGGACUUUUACGGGAGACCUUGUGGCAUUUUACAUAUCUUGAUGGACACAUGAGGGAAGAAAGACUAGCCUCUUGUAAAUGACAUUUAAAUAAUCAGUGACCGUUCUCUUUAUUAAAUAUGGCUGAAUCCCUUUCUUAGAAUAUGACACAUCAUAUAAACAAUACUUGAUAAACUAGAGACUUAAUGAAUAAUUGAAAAACAAAUAUAUUUUCCUUUCUAUAGACUUUCAAGGUUGGAUAUGAAAAAGAAAAAUUAAUGAAAAAAAUGACAUUCCCAAAUAGAAUUUACAGAAUUCACAAACUAUCAAUAACCUUUAUUAAAUAAUCAAAUACAAACCUUAGUUAUUUCAUUUUGGAUAUGGUAGAACAGUCAAUCCAAAUGUGAUCAGCUCAUCAUAUAUCAAAUAUAUGUUACAUGAAAUGUAAUCAAGAACUCUGAAAUUUUACUUAAUUCUAUUUCUAGAAAUAUCUAAUUAAUUAAUGUUUUAGAGACACCGUCUCACUGUCUCUAGGCUGGAGUGCCAUGGUGCCAAUGUAGCUCACUGCAGCCUUGAACUCCUGGGCUCAAGCAAUCCUCCCACCUCAGACCCCUCAGUAUCUGGGAUUACAGGUGUCUUAAUUGUCAACAUGAUAGUAUUAAGCAGUGGGGCCAUUGGAGGGUGAUUAAGUUAUGAGAGCACAGCCUUCAUGAUUGGGAUUAGUCAACUUAUAAAAGAGAUGCAAGAGAGCUGUUUGCCCCUUUUCCCACGUGAGAACACAGUAAGAGUCACCAUCUAUGAAGCAUAGUAUGAGCCUUCACCAGACAGCUAAUCUACUCAUAACUUGACAGUGAACUUCCCAGACUCCAAAACUGUGAGAAAUAAAUUUCUAUAAUUUAUAAAUUACCCAGUCUAAAGUAUUUUGUUAUAUCAGCCUGGAUGGACUAAGAUUAUAUUUAUAUGUAUAUACAAUGUAUACAUGUGUAUAUAUAAACAUACGUACAUACAAUGCAUACAUGUAUAUAUAUAAAUGCACAUGCACAUAUAUAUGGAAAUAAUAUUCUUUAUAUAUGUCUAGGAAAAUCUCUUGGAGAACUGAAAAAUAAGCACACAUACACAUAUACACCAAGCUUAUGGACAGUAGAAUGUUUUAAGAAAGAGCUAUGAUGUCUAGUUUGGAAGCAAAUGAGAAGAUCCUAUUCUUAUUUAGGAGAUAUAAAAAUAACUAAAUAGAUAAAAAUGACUGAAUUAGGAAAAAGACUGAAUGCCAUGGGCUGAUUGUUAAGAGACAUGCUUGAAUGUUUGGAAUAUCCACAAACUUAUGUUUAUUUAAUGUAAGCAGUUAGCCUUCUGAUUCUCAUAUUCCACAUAUCCACAAAUAAGACUCAAAACUUUAUUCUGUAUUAUCAAAACACAAAACAAAUGUAAAUGGAAUUUAAAAGCCAAAGAUGCUACAAAGAUUUUGACUACAUGAUGACAUCAAAAAGACAAUGAAGUUGAUAUUGAAUAAGACAAAGGACAAAAUGUGAUGUAACAGAUAUCAUCAAUACUCUACCAAGCUCUCCUUGGAUCCUUCAUGCAGGCCCUGCGUGCUCUGCUCUGUCUUCUGUGUGAUUCGUUUCUAACAGUGAGCACCUGUGACUAACUUUGAGGAUGACUGUUGCAUUAUCACAGCACUUGCUUGGAAGGUGCAGAUACUCAAAAGUAUUAGACAGUCUUUAUCUGCCUGUGACUGUUCUUAGCCAAUGACUCUCUAUUGUAGGAGUUUCAACGCCUAGCUCCUUGGCCACAAGUACACAAAUUCCAAUAAUAAGCUACACAAGAGCUUUCCCCAGGGGCUUCCCUCAAGCAUUCUUCCUUGAAAUCGCUCAAUUGCUUCGCAUCCUCUUCUGCUCUGUCCUAAUCUCCUAUUACCUUACUAGAUUGUUCUGGAAAGUCAUGAGGACAUAGUUAUCUCAGGGUCUUCUUUUGGGAAACUCAAAAUAAGACAGAUGAUGAUUCCUCCUAUUAUAUAUCACUUUACGGUUUUCUUUAUUAUAUUACUUUAUCUUCAAUUCAUCUUGUGAGGUGUUUAUUUCAAAAAUGGAAAAGGUGACCCUAUAAAGAUUAAGUGAUUAACCUGAUAUCAUACAACAAUUCAAGUGCAAAGUCAAAACUUGAACCUUUCUCAGAAUGUUAGAAUAUAUAUAUAUUUUCAGUGACAUCUAUCCAAGUGUAUAUUAUUACAGAACACUUUAGUUUGCAAGAUAGCUCCCCUUGUUUGAUUGGAAAAUCUUGGCUUAAUAUCAAACACCAUGGAGAUAUAAGAAAAAACAACAAUUUUAGGGAAAGAUAAGUUUAUUUUACUUGCAUAUAAUAUCUGAAGAUGUAAGAUCUUAUGAAAUAAAAUUUUUAACAAAUUGUCUUAUUUGUUACUAAUAGUAAGUGUCAAGUUGAAUGACCCUUAAAUAAAAGAAAAACAUGGAUAAAUUACAUUUCUCCAAGAGACAAUAAAAACAUCCUUUUUAAGUAUCUAUCACUCUAUCCAAUCUGAUGGACACUUAAAAUAUCACCUCUAGUGAUUGCAUUUGAAAGAAAAUUACUUGAACAUUUUAAUCUUUUAUAAGUUUAUAAGUAAUAAACUGAAAAUCUAAAGACAUUGAUUAAAUAAAUG